UCGAAAUUCUCAUCACUAAUUUUCCAAAAAAUAUAUCGUGAAAAGUCAAAACUCUUUCCACUGAUUUCCGCAUCUAAAAUAGUUUUCAUUAAUCUCAUAGUGGAUGAUAGAGUUUUUUCUUUCAAGUGUUGUUCCCUCGUCUCGUGAUUGUCGAAUCCUAUGGUUUCAUUAUUUAUCUUUUCUCUCUCAACAUAAGAUCCCUGGUUCAAUACAAAACCAUCAUUCUCAUCGCAACUAGACUAACGAUUAAACCAACUUGUUUCUUUUGCUGAUAUCAAAGUCCCAAGAACAACAGAUAACUCUUCGAUUUCAACACUUUUCUUCUUCUCUUCAUCAUUCUCGUUACAGUCUCGAGUAUCAACUUCAUCAGUUUUCGGAGAUCAAAUUGAUCGUUCUAUAUGUUACCCUGUUCAUGGAUUGUUCAGGGUCUUAUGUAUGCAUUUGUUUGUGGAAUUAGUCUUGGAUUUUAUAUUUGGGUUUGCUUUGAACCGAGAGAAAAAUCAGCAGGAAUGAUCCCAAAUUGCAGGUCACGGAAGCUAUAAAGGGAACCAAAUCUACAUGACGAACUUACCUUCUUAAGCACGAAUAUGGCACAAGAAGUGUUUGAUGAAAGUCCUAAGAGAAACAGAGCAGGAUUUUGUGGCUUGGGAAUGAAUUUCUGGUGUGGAUUUAGCAUAGAUUUGUGUCCUGGGAAUGGAUUUCUGGUGUGGAUUUAGCGCAGAAUAGGUUUAAUUUGAAGCGUCAAGUGUAUCAUAAAAGUCUGAGAUUGUGUAAAUUUAUUAUAUCUCGUCUUAUUUCUAACGUAAAAGUUGUAAUCAAUAUACAUAGUAACAAACUUAUAUUUAUGGAAUUUCAAUAUUCCUUG